ACACCACGCACAUUCAGAGUUAAAAUAUGGAUUGAUUGAUUGGUGACAUAUAAACGUCCAGUGACAAAUGUCACUGUUUAAGCAUAUUCAGGAUGAGUCUAAACUUUAACAACAAUUCAAUCGGUAAUGUACAAACUCACAAUUUGAAAGUCAACAGAAAGACAUAUAUCUCGGGUUAAACACAUUCAUAUGACUCCAAACCGACCAGUUUUUGCUUUGUCUUCUAAUGCCACACCCUAGCGG
rnacentral:lncRNA from 1 species